UACGAAGGGGGCUAGCGUUGUUAGGAUUUACUGGGCGUAAAGCGCGUGUAGGCGGGUCGUUAAGUUGGGGGUUAAAUCCCGGAGCUCAACUCCGGAACUGCCUUCAAAACUGGCGACCUGGACUCAAGCAGAGGCAAGUGGAAUUGCGAGUGUAGAGGUGAAAUUCGUAGAUAUUCGCAGGAACACCAGUGGCGAAGGCGACUUGCUGGGCUUGUAGUGACGCUGAGACGCUAAAGCGUGGGGAGCAAACAGG
rnacentral:rRNA from 1 species